rnacentral:tRNA from 1 species
GCCUGGGUGGCUUGGUUGGUUAAGCGUCCGACUUCGGCUCAGGUCAUGAUCUCACGGUCUGUGGGUUCGAGCCCCGCAUCGGGCU